GCUUUGGCCUCGAAUUUUGGUUCCCACGAAGUUUUAGUGGGAUUAAAAGGGAAUCCAGUGAAAAGCUGGAGCUGUUCCCGCAACUGUAAGUAUGUGCCGAAUUGGCACUGAUGUUUUUUUUGAGCGUCAGUACGUAGUAGGCGAUUGUCUCUGCUUCAAAGCCACUGCCCAAUGGGUGGGAAGGUAGGAGACAAAACACAAGCCAGGAGACCUGCCAGAUUCAAACAAAGAAU
rnacentral:ncRNA from 2 species